GACGAACGCUGGCGGCGUGCCUAACACAUGCAAGUCGAACGGUCCGAGAAUAAUAGCUUGCUAGAGUUUUCGGAUAGUGGCGGACGGGUGAGUAACGCGUGAGGACCUGCCGAAUGCCGGGGGACAACAGAUGGAAACGUCUGCUAAUACCCCAUAAGCCUGAGGGUAAAAGGAGGAAUCCGGCAUAUGAGGGUCUCGCGUCCUAUCAGCUAGUAGGUGAGGUAACGGCUCACCUAGGCGAAGACGGGUAGCCGGCCUGAGAGGGCGGACGGCCACACUGGGACUGAGACACGGCCCAGACUCCUACGGGAGGCAGCAGUGGGGAAUAUUGGGCAAUGGGGGCAACCCUGACCCAGCGACGCCGCGUGGGUGAAGAAGUUCUUCGGGACGUAAAGCCCUGUUGCAUGGGAAGAGUAGAAGACGGUACCAUGCGAGGAAGCCCCGGCAAACUACGUGCCAGCCGCCGCCGUAACAC
rnacentral:rRNA from 1 species